rnacentral:lncRNA from 1 species
CUUCUCCCCAGUUCUGAGUCUCUCCAAACCCCUUCCCCUGCACCCCAAAGAACCCACCACCCAUUCCUUUUUAUUCCUCUCUUGGCACAUGGGCACCUCACUUCAUCAUCCUUCUCCUCAGCGCUGUGCUGUGAGCUCUGAGAAGGUCAAGGUGUCUCCCUCACAGCCACAUCCCUGGAACUCAGCAAGGACUUGACACGCAGUAGAUGCUCAACACAUGUCAGCUUCUAGGUGGCUCCUGAGAGCAUUUCUUCUUAAACAAGAAUCCCUGGCUCCUACUCUACUCCCAGGGACACUGAACCCUAAGGCGAACUCAGUGGCUCACCCAGGUUAUCAUUCACCCACAAGCACCUCACACUUGGCCGGCUUGGAGAACUUGGAGGACAGGUAGGCAUCUCAACAGCAUUGAAUGAGUGGGUCAUGUUGUCAACAGCGUGGGAUGAGUGGGUCAUGCUGUCUUGUUCAUGCUCUGAGCUCUGCCCUCACCUCACACAAAUAAUGAGUGACCGAGAAAAGGCAUGGAAGGGGAUGUGUAGGGUGCUGCAGGGCUACCCAGCCUUCUCAUCUACAGAUGGGGAGGUGGAGGCAUAGAAAGUCAAAGGCUCAAGGUCACACAGCAAGUUGGUGGUCAAGCCAGGACCAGAAGCCAAGUGGGGAGAGAGGUGGGAGUCUACAGAUGGAACAUUCCAGACUCACUAUUGACCUGCUCUGUGAGGCUGGGCAUCCCAUUUUUGCAGCUGAAUUCCAGUCGGAGGAAAAUGCUGAGGAGGUGACCUGGAACCUGCUGGCCUGAGGGUGUCCCCUUCAGAGGAGGACUCUGCUCCAUCUGCAUUUUGGACCCUUGUCAUGAAAAAGCAUCUCCCAAUAUUCGAAGAUGUUCUCCAGAGCCUCAUCACCAAUUCUCUCCCCUCUCCCUGAACAGCCUCUUCUGUCAAGCAGUUAAUGAUCUGGAAAUAGACUUUUCAAUCCUCUGGUUAACAGAAGUCAUUUGGGCAACUCCUUUUGGGAGUCUACAAUUCUUUUUUCACACGUGAAUAAUCACUACCAAAUUUACCCUGUUUUAUAAGCCCUCUGUCCCUGGGUUGGGAUUUAAAUGGAAGGACUCGUGCAGUUCCGUGGAACUUUCCGCAGUGAUGGAGAUGGUCCACAUCAGCGCUAACCAGUAUGGGAGCCAUGGGCUUUGUGUGGCUUUUGAGCACUUGAAAUGUGGCUGUUGUGAUGAAGGAAUGGAAUUUUAAAUUAAAUGUUAGUUCAUUUACGUGUAAGUAGCUCCUAGGGCUGGCAGCUACUGUGGGGACCACAGAGUCGGGCAUGAUGGUGCACAACGGAGACAGACCCCUUUCUCGAGGUGUGGUCUUCCAACUUCUUUGUGACUUAGUUUCUUCACUCAAAACUUGAAGACAGCACGCUCCCUGUUUUGCAGUGAGGAUUCCCUAAGUUACUCCCUGUGUGGUGCUCAGCACGGGAAUCAACAGCCAUGCCCCCCGUCAACCUCAGCAAUGCUUAGGGUGGCUCAUGAAAACGCUGCCUUCUAGAAGUGACCUGGUCAAUACACAAGAGACAAGUGAUUCUAGGUGUUGGAGAAUGAGGGGUUAUUCAAAGGUCCACAGUAAUCACCAAGCAAACCAAUUUCUUAAAAAGCUCACUGCACAGGCUUGCUCUGUAAACCUCACCACAAGCUGGAAAAGCGGCCAUCGUUUCCCCAUUUAUAGUGAAGGCAAAUAAAUAGACUCCAAGAAGUUGAAGGAACCGUAGUGAGAGAGGAAGGAAGACAUGGUCUGGAGCCAGGCUGCUGACCCCUGGGCCUUUCCCCACACCACCCAUUCUCUUCUGCCCUGGGCUCGCCCACCCCCAACUAGGUUGGGUCAGCCUGAAUUUCCAAAUGCAUGCCCAUGGAGGGUCUCCCUCCUGAUUUGUGUCCAGGCCAAACUUUACAAACCGCUAUUCCCUCCCUUGUGGCUGCAAACAUCCCACAAGACUGACCUUGGCACGGGGAAUUGGAAGGCAAAGCCUCCUAGCACAGUCAGGGUCACCUGGACAUGGAAUUAUCAAGAUUUGAUUUUUUAAAAACCUACAAAGCAACGUUGCAGAAUUUCAAAAAAGUUCUGCUCUCCCCGACUUAAUUGAUUCAAAUACUUCUGGAUCCUGUCAUUCCGGGCAGUUGCAGUCCUUCAUUUAGGAACACCACCCCGCUCCAACCCAUGUAUACAGGCAUGAAUCCCCUUCUGAGCUGUCCCAGACUAAAGCUGUCCUAGGUCUCCUAGGUUUGACAUUUUCCAAAUUUCAUCUAAUUGUCUUCAUUGUAUAUUUCAGUUUCCACUUUAGAAGUUCUGAAGAAAACACAUUUCUGCAUAGGCUCUCUGGGGUGACAUUUUUGUGGUUUAUGAAAUCUGGAUUCAAUAUAUUGAAUAAACUGUGGCUCCAGGGGCCUUUUUUUUCUCCCCUACCCAUCACCAUUUUUUUUUUGUCACAUCUUGAAACUUUCAUUCUAAAGGGGCCAAGUCUACAGAAUUGUCAUAACAUUGCCCUCAGCUGUGAAGUUACUUUUCUAGCAUUUAUUUACAAGCAGAACUUCGAAAGUGCAGUUUGAUGUGAAGAAGAUUUGGUACCAAUUUCUCUCUCUCUCUCUCUGUGUGUGUGUGUGUGUGUGUGUGUGUGUGUGUGUGUGUGUAUUUAAAGUGUUUUUAUCUAUCAUGUAAGUUUCAAGUGAAAUACUUUUAUCAUAUAAGUUUCAAGUCAAAUUGAAAAGGGA